rnacentral:rRNA from 1 species
UACGUAGGGCGCAAGCGUUGUCCGGAAUUAUUGGGCGUAAAGAGCUCGUAGGUGGUCUGUCACGUCGGAUGUGAAAACUCGGGGCUCAACCCCGAGCCUGCAUUCGAUACGGGCAGACUAGAGUUCGGUAGGGGAGACUGGAAUUCCUGGUGUAGCGGUGAAAUGCGCAGAUAUCAGGAGGAACACCGGUGGCGAAGGCGGGUCUCUGGGCCGAUACUGACACUGAGGAGCGAAAGCGUGGGGAGCGAACAGG